rnacentral:rRNA from 1 species
AUCUUGGAAAGAAGGGUGGUGACUAUUCUGGGAAGAAGGGUGGCGACUAUUCUGGAAAGAAGGGUGGAGAAUAUUCUGGAAAGAAGGGCGAAGAUUCGUGUGAAAUUCCUUCUUGUUGUCACUGUGAUUGUUC